rnacentral:misc_RNA from 1 species
CUCUCUGGCGGACAGCCCGCGCCCUGUAAAAGGGACGGCCCGCCCGAGGACCCCUAAACUCUGUUUUUAGUGGAACUUCUGAGUAAAACAAACAAAUAAAUCAAAACUUUCAACAACGGAUCUCUUGGUUCUGGCAUCGAUGAAGAACGCAGCAAAAUGCGAUAAGUAAUGUGAAUUGCAGAAUUCAGUGAAUCAUCGAAUCUUUGAACGCACAUUGCGCCCGCCAGUAUUCUGGCGGGCAUGCCUGUUCGAGCGUCAUUUCAACCCUCAAGCUCAGCUUGGUGUUGGGACUCGCGGUAACCCGCGUUCCCCAAAUCGAUUGGCGGUCACGUCGAGCUUCCAUAGCGUAGUAAUCAUACACCUCGUUACUGGUAAUCGUCGCGGCCACGCCGUAAAACACCCCAACUUCUGA